UACGGAGGGUGCAAGCGUUGUUCGGAAUUAUUGGGCGUAAAGCGCGCGCAGGCGGCUGGAUAAGUCCAGGGGUGAAAUGCCGGAGCUUAACUCCGUGCGUGCCCCGGAUACUGUCUGGCUGGAGACACGUAGAGGCAAGCGGAAUUUCGGGUGUAGCGGUGGAAUGCGCAGAUAUCGGGAGGAACACCGGUGGCGAAGGCGGUUCUCUGGGAAUGUCCUGACGCUGAGGAGCGAAAGUGUGGGGAGCGAACAGG
rnacentral:rRNA from 1 species